rnacentral:tRNA from 1 species
GGGGGUAUAGCUCAGUUGGUAGAGCGCGUCGUUCGCAAUGACGAGGCCAGGGGUUCGAAUCCCCUUACCUCCACCA